GACGUCGAUAUUGGACGUCAUUAACGCGAACAACUUCGGUGUUUAUGACGUCGAUACAUAAACACGAUCAACUUAGGUGUUUAUGACGUCGAUAUUCGAAGUCAUAGGACGAUCUACGUAGGUGUUAAUGACGUCGAUAUUCGACGUCAUAAACACGAUCAACUUUGGUGUUUAUGACGUCGAUAUUCGACGUCAUAAACACGAUCAACUUUGGUAUUUCUGACAUCGACGUAAUAAACACGAUCAACUUUGGUGUUUAUGACAUCGAUAUUCGACGUC